AACGAACGCUGGCGGCGCGCCUAAUACAUGCAAGUCGAGCGAGAAGACGUAGCAAUACGUUUGUAAAGCGGCGAACGGGUGAGGAAUACAUGGGUAACCUACCCUCGAGUGGGGAAUAACCAGCCGAAAGGUUAGCUAAUACCGCGUACGCUCCUUGGACUUCGGUUCAGGGAGGAAAGCGAUACCGUGGGUAUCGCGCUCUUGGAUGGGCUCAUGUCCUAUCAGCUUGUUGGGAGGUAACGGCUCACCAAGGCUUCGACGGGUAGCUGGUCUGAGAGGACGAUCAGCCACACUGGCACUGCGACACGGGCCAGACUCCUACGGGAGGCAGCAGUAAGGAUAUUGCGCAAUGGGCGAAAGCCUGACGCAGCGACGCCGCGUGGGGGAUGAAGGUCUUCGGAUUGUAAACCCCUUUUCGGGAGGGAAGAUGGAACGAGCAAUCGUUCGGACGGUACCUCCAGAAGCAGCCACGGCUAACUUCGUGCCAGCAGCCGCUGU
rnacentral:rRNA from 1 species